CAGCGGAGUCAACCAGAGUAACUGAAAACUGACUCUCAUUGCCCCUAGCAUUUAGAGCAAAUAGCUCUAUCAUUUUCUCAUCCUCGUGCCUGGCACUGUACUUCAUGCUGAACCACAAGUUCUGAUCCUCACAUGGCCCCUGGAGAGUAAGAUGCCAAGGAAAGCAGUUUUGAUGGCAAAAAUAAAUAGCGCUGGGACCAUCUAGUUGCAGGAAAAGAAGCAGGGCUCCCUCUGAUUCUGCAUUAUGUUUUUGGCCAUGGCAUGGUUUGAACCCACCACCUCCAACAUAUGGGGCUGGCGCCCUAUCCCUUUGAUCUACAGGCACUGCCCUAUACUUUAAAACCAUUGUGCCAUGAAAAGAUAGUCAGCAUCUUUAGUAUUUGGGAAAUGCAAAUUAAAACCAUAAUUAUGUGUGUGUGUAAUUAUCUGACAAUUAAGUCUGAGAACUUACCACUCUGCCCCUAUGUUGAUAGCACUAUACAAACAAUAUGGUAAGUUUUCAUAACCUUGGUAUAUCAGUGUCUCACAACUGUGUUCAUGUCAAUGUCAACCACUCAGUGUCUUGCUGAGUGGUGUUCAUUGUUGCCUCAUGUUUUUGUGUGUCAUCAUAGAAAGUCAGAGGUUGGAUUAGAGCAAUCAACAGACAUUAAAUUUCUUGUGAAACUUGGCAAGAGUAGAAAUGAAACCAAGUACAUGUUAGUCUAAGUUUAUAGGGAUAAUGCCAUGAAGAAAAUGGCAGUAUACAAAUGGAUUAAACAUGUUUCUGAGGGGACAUAAAGCUUCACUGAUGAAGAGAUGUCAGGGUGGCCAGUAGCAAGCAGAACUGAUGAAAACAUUGCAAAAAUUCAUUGACUUGUGUGUCAAAAUCAUUGGCUGAGUAUGAGAAGUAUAACAGACCAAGAUUGAUAGAAAAUCAGUUAGGAAAUCUUGGCAUGAGAAAGGUAUGUGCAAAAAUGGUCCUGAAGGAACUCAUUGAUGCACACUGUCUGUGAGGGAGUUUUUAAAAGUAAAUAACCAUAUUGGAACACCCUCCUUAAUUACCUGUUCUGGCCCCCAGUGACAUUUUCUUUACCAGAAGAUAAAAGAACUAUUGAAAGGAAGAUAUUUUGAUGAUAUUCAGACCAUUCCAGAGAAAGAGUUUCAAAAUUGCUUUGACAGGUGGACUAGGUGCUGGUGUCAGUACCUAGGUUCCCAAGGGGAGUACUUUGAAGGUCAUCAUAGUGACAUUCAGUAAUGAGGUAUGUAGCACUUUUUCCUAGGAUGAACUCACGAACUUCAUUGUCAGACUAAAACCCCCCCCACACACACACACUCUACCUAGUAUAGUCAUUCUAAAAUUAUAUAGUCAUUUCUAAUAUAUAUAUAUGUAUAUAUAUUACAUAUAGUCAUUCAUUCAUAUAUAUAGCCGGGUGUUGUAUUGGGCGCCUGUGGUUCCAGCUACUUGGGAGGCUGAGGCAAGAGAAUCGCUUAAACCCAAGAGUUUGAGGUUGCUGUGAGCUGUGAUGCCACAGUAGUCUACCCAGCGCAACAGCUUGAGACUCUAUCUCAAAAAAUAAAUAAAUAAUAAAAUCAAGGCACAACUGAGAAUACAAUGAGCUGUGACUGGGCCACUGCACUUCAGCCUAGGUGACAGAGUGAUACUCUGUCUCAAAAAAAAAUAAAAAUUGAGGCACAAGCAAAGUUUUGGAAGUGAUGAAUGUGUUCAUUAUCACAAUUGUGGUGAUGACUUCAUGGGGUUUGUGUGGACAUA